GACAAAUAUUGUGCAAAUAUUGCUGUCAACUGUCCAUUUCGUAUUACGGACUUACAACAAAAAAGCAGAUCGCGGACCAUCACUAGUGCUGCCUCUGCAGAGCGAUUUGUGAAACUUUAGUGCAUUCUUUUCCAUACAACUAACAACAACUGGCCUAAAGUCGGUAUUACGGAUGCUUUUGUCUGCCACACAACAGCAGAUAUUUAGCAAUUUCGUUUGUCAAAUUUGCGACACCUUUUGUAUCUGGUGCUGAAUUGUUGCUAACUAUCUGCAAGUGUAAAAUUUGUGAAAUUAAAUUAUUUUAACUUGAUUUAGGUAUGUAUGGACAGAGCUCAAAUAAUGGGGCUUUGGAGUCUAAGGAAAUUAGGUCGGAUACAUACGAAUCAGUGCGUUUGCGACGCUGUCUUCGUGAUCAAGCCUGACCCCUUAUUCUAUCGGAAAGUUUGUUCAGAACACAUUACAGAAUUUCGAAACAUCAAUAUUUACAAUUGUGCUCUGAAUUAAAGCCGUUAAUAACCUAGAUCAUCAAGACGAACAAGAAUAGAAAGUAAAAUGCAAGGUUUUACAAUAAAUUUGGUUUUCCUGGGGUUUCGGGGUGUAUAGAUGGCACUCAUUUGCACUUAUCAGAUCUUCUGUAUAUGAAGAAAGGUUUUAGAACCGCAAGCAUUAUCAUUUCAAGAAUGUGCAAAUAAUAUGUGAUAGUGAUCUUAACAUUUUUAGUAUUAAUGCAACAUUUCAUGAUACAUUUGUCUGGCUUAUCACAACUGAAUAUGCCUAUGCAGGACCUGCACCAUAAUAGUGAAAAAGUUUGGUUUUUAGGCAAGUAAAACAUCAUGAGCUCUGUCUCAGUAACCUGACUACAAAAUAAUACUCUAUCUAAAAGUAUAUUUAAAACUGGGAAGGCAGUUAAUAUAUAGUACUAUAGU